rnacentral:rRNA from 1 species
ACGGGGGGGGCAAGCGUUGUUCGGAAUUACUGGGCGUAAAGGGCGCGUAGGCGGCCUGGUAAGUCAAAGGUGAAAUCCCUCGGCUCAACCGAGGAAUUGCCUUUGAAACUACCUGGCUUGAGGCCGGGAGGGGGUAGCGGAAUUCCCAGUGUAGCGGUGAAAUGCGUAGAUACUGGGAGGAACACCGGUGGCGAAGGCGGCUACCUGGACCGGUUCUGACGCUGAUGCGCGAAAGCGUGGGGAGCAAACAGGA